AGAGUUUGAUCAUGGCUCAGGACGAACGCUGGCGGCGUGCUUAACACAUGCAAGUCGAGCGGAAAGGCCCACUUGUGGGUACUCGAGCAGCGAACGGGUGAGUAACACGUGAGUAAUCUGCCCUUCACUUGGGGAUAACGUCCAGAAAUGGGUGCUAAUACCCGGUACUCCCAGGUCCACGCAUGUGGGUGUGGGGAAAGGUUUUUCUGGUGGGGGAUGUGCUCGCGGCCUAUCAGCUUGUUGGUGGGGUAAUGGCCUACCAAGGCUUUGACGGGUAGCCGGCCUGAGAGGGUGACCGGCCACACUGGGACUGAGACACGGCCCAGACUCCUACGGGAGGCAGCAGUGGGGAAUAUUGGACAAUGGGCGGAAGCCUGAUCCAGCAACGCCGCGUGAGGGAUGACGGCCUUCGGGUUGUAAACCUCUUUCACCAUUGACGAAGCUGCAUCUUUUUGGGUGUGGUGACGGUAGGUGGGGAAGAAGCACCGGCCAACUACGUGCCAGCCGCCGCGGUAAUAC
rnacentral:rRNA from 1 species